rnacentral:tRNA from 1 species
GCAGUGGUAGUUCAGAGGUAAAAUUUUUGCCUUCCAUGUGAAAGACCCUGGGUUCAAUUCCCAGCCAGUGCA